UACGUAGGGUGCGAGCGUUAAUCGGAAUUACUGGGCGUAAAGUGUGCGCAGGCGGCCGAGCAAGUCGAGUGUGAAAGCCCCGAGCUUAACUUGGGAACUGCGCUCGAAACUACUUGGCUGGAGUGUGGCAGAGGAAGGUGGAAUUCCACGUGUAGCGGUGAAAUGCGUAGAGAUGUGGAGGAACACCGGUGGCGAAGGCGGGUCUCUGGGCAGUAACUGACGCUGAGGAGCGAAAGCGUGGGGAGCGAACAGG
rnacentral:rRNA from 1 species